GAAAUGCGAUAAGUAAUGUGAAUUGCAGAAUUCAGUGAAUCAUCCAAUCUUUGAACGCACAUUGCGCCCGCCAGUAUUCUGGCGGGCAUGCCUGUUCGAGCGUCAUUUCAACCAUCAAGCCCCCCGGCUUGUGUUGGGGACCUGCGGCUGCCGCAGGCCCUGAAAAGCAGUGGCGGGCUCGCUGUCACACCGAGCGUAGUAGCAUACAUCUCGCUCUGGGCGUGCUGCGGGUUCCGGCCGUUAAACCACCUUCGUAACCCAAGGUUGACCUCGGAUCAGGUAGGAAGACCCGCUGAACUUAAGC
rnacentral:misc_RNA from 1 species